UUUAAAGUCUAAUCUGCCCUAUGAGGGGUUAAAUGGCCGCGGUAUUUUGACCGUGCAAAGGUAGCAUAAUAAUUAGUUUUUUAAUUGAAAGCUGGAAUGAACGAUUGGACGAGAAAAUUACUGUCUCAAUUUAAUUUAAUUAGAAUUUUAUUUUUAAGUAAGAAAGCUUAAAUUUUAUUAAAAGACGAGAAGACCCUAUAGAGUUUUAUAACAUUUUAUUUAUAAAUUUUUUAGAAUAUUUUUGUUUGUAUUUUAAUUGUUAUUUUAUUGGGGUGAUAGAAAAAUAUGAUUAACUUUUUUUAUUAUAAAUUCAUUAAUAUAUGUUUAAUUGAUCCAUUAUUUAUGAUUAUAAGAUUAAAUUACCUUAGGGAUAACAGSGUAAUUUUUUUUUARAGUUCUUAUCGAAAAAAUAGAUUGCGACCUCGAUGUUGGAUUAAAAUAAAUUAUUGGUGUAGAAGCUAUAUAAUUAGGUCUGUUCGACCUUUAAAAUUUUACA
rnacentral:rRNA from 1 species